rnacentral:rRNA from 1 species
UACAGAGGUCGCAAGCGUUGUUCGGAUUCAUUGGGCGUAAAGGGUGCGUAGGCGGCGCGGUAAGUCGGGCGUGAAAUCUCGGAGCUUAACUCCGAAACUGCAUUCGAUACUGCCGUGCUUGAGGACUGGAGAGGAGACUGGAAUUUACGGUGUAGCGGUGAAAUGCGUAGAUAUCGUAAGGAAGACCAGUGGCGAAGGCGGGUCUCUGGACAGUUACUGACGCUGAGGCACGAAGGUCAGGGGAGCAAACGGG